CAAAAUAAAGCUUUAUAGUAAAGUAUCUCAUUUACAUUGAGAAGAUUUCCGUGCGAUUCGGAUAUUUUGA
rnacentral:tRNA from 1 species